GAGAGCCAAAUGAAUCGAAAGAUUCAUGUUUGGUUCAGGAAGAGAUCUAUAUCAGGCGAUAUCUCUAAGGUAUCAUCCCGU
rfam:Oryza glumipatula chromosome 3, whole genome shotgun sequence.